rnacentral:rRNA from 1 species
AGCAGCCGCGGUAAUUCCAGCUCCAAUAGCGUAUAUUAAAGUUGCUGCAGUUAAAAAGCUCGUAGUUGAAUUUCGGGACCAUCAUGUCGGUCGUGCCUAGGUACGUACUGGUAUUGUUGGUUUCUCCCUUCUGACGAACCAUGAUGUCAUUUAUUUGGUGUUGUGGGGAAUCAGGACUGUUACUUUGAAAAAAUUAGAGUGUUUAAAGCAGGCUCACGCUUGAAUACAUUAGCAUGGAAUAAUGAAAUAGGACGUUUGAUUCUAUUUUGUUGGUUUCUAGGAUCGACGUAAUGAUUAAUAGGGAUAGUUGGGGGCAUUAGUAUUCAAUUGUCAGAGGUGAAAUUCUUGGAUUUAUUGAAGACUAACUACUGCGAAAGCAUUUGCCAAGGAUGUUUUCAUUAAUCAAGAACGAAAGUUAGGGGAUCGAAGACGAUCAGAUACCGUCGUAGUCUCAACCAUAAACUAUGCCGACUAGGGAUCGGAUGAUGUUAAUUUUUUAAUGACUCAUUCGGCGCCUUACG